GGUCAAGAUAUCGUUCGGUUUACAAUCCAGAUCAACCUCCUCAACUCGGUUCCACUAGCGAUUCUCUUACCAAGAACACGCAAAAGCAAGGACAAGUAAGUUCUGUCUUCUGUUACCCUUUCUCUGUUUUUCUUUCUUUGUUACAUGUAUUUAAUUCUUUAUGUUUUGAUGUUAGAAUCUUUGGAUUAAGGAAAACAAAAGGGAAAGUUGUUCUUGUUAUAAAUUCUUGAUCCUUAUAGCCAGGAUAAAGUUUCAGUGAUUAUUUUGGUUAGAGUCUUUGGAUUGAGGUUUGCUUUGGAUGGAUUCUAAUUUGGAACCAGUCCCGAUAACAUCACAAAAACAUGACCCGGCAUGGAAGCAUUGCCAAAUGUUCAAGAAUGGGGAAAGAGUGCAGCUCAAGUGUGUGUAUUGUAACAAGUUUUUUAAGGGGGGAGGGAUUCAUAGGAUUAAGGAGCAUUUAGCCGGUCAAAAGGGUAAUGCAUCUACUUGUUUACGAGUUCCUCCUGAUGUUAGGCUUAUGAUGCAACAGAGUUUGGAUGGAGUUGUAGUUAAAAAGAGAAAGAAGCAAAAGAUUGCAGAGGAGAUUUCGAAUUUGAACCAAGUUGGUAAUGAGAUAGAGGUUUUUGGUAAUGAUCAGAUUGAAGUUAAUAACGGUAUGGACUUGAUCGAACUUUCAAAUGUGAUAGAGCCUGGUCCAAGUUUAUUAGUUGGUCGAGAAGAAGGAGGGAUUAGUAAGAGUGGGGAGAGGAGAAAGAAGGGAAGAAGUAAAGGUUCCGCUGCAAAUAUAAAUGCCAUUGUUACUAUGAAUAAUAGGAUGGCAUUAGGUAGUAAAAGAGUGAAUGAUCAUGUUCAUAUGGCAAUAGGAAGGUUUUUAUAUGAUAUUGGGGCACCUUUGGAUGCUGUGAACUCGGUUUAUUUCCAGCCAAUGGUUGAUGCUAUUGCUUCGGGAGGAUCAGAGGUUGAGAUGCCUUCGUAUCAUGACCUUCGUGGUCAGAUAUUGAAGAAUACAGUUGAAGAAGUGAAGACUGAUGUUGAUAAGCACAUGGCAACUUGGGCAAGGACUGGUUGUUCUGUUUUGGUGGAUCAAUGGAACACAUUAAUGGGUAGAACUCUGCUAAGUUUUUUGGUUUACUCUUCUGAAGGAGUGGUGUUUUUGAAAUCUGUCGAUGCAUCUGAUUUUAUAAAUUCGUCUGAUGCCCUAUAUGAAUUGCUUAAACAAGUGGUGCUAGAAGUUGGAGCUAGACAUGUUUUGCAAGUGAUAACUAAUAUGGAAGAGCAAUAUAUUGUUGCAGGUAGAAGGUUGUCUGAUUCUUUUCCUACUUUAUAUUGGGCUCCUUGUGCAGCUCAUUGUCUAGAUUUGAUCCUCAAAGAUUUUGCAAAAAUUGGAUGGAUAAAUACAGUAAUUGAACAAGCUAGGUCUAUAACAAGAUUUGUAUACAAUUACAGUGUGGUAUUGAAUAUGGUGAGAAAGUAUACUUCUGGCAAUGAUAUUGUAGAACCAGGUCUCACUCGUUUUGCUACAAACUUUGCGACAUUGAAACGAAUGGUUGAUCUUAAGCAUACUUUGCAGGCCAUGGUUACUUCACAGGAGUGGAUGGAUUGUCCAUAUGCAAAGAAACCAGGGGGACUAGAGAUGUUAGAUUUAUUAAGUAAUCAAUCAUUUUGGUCCAACUGUGUCCUGAUAACCGAUCUAACAAAUCCGCUCUUGAGACUUUUGAGAAUAGUUAGUGGCAAUAAGAGGCCUGCAAUGGGGUAUGUUUAUGCAGGAAUAUACCGAGCAAAAGAAGCAAUUAAGAAGGAACUUGUAAAGAGGAAUGAUUAUAUGGUGUACUGGAAUAUUAUAGAUCAUUGGUGGGAACAACAAAAUAAUCUCCCUCUUCAUGCUGCUGGUUUCUUCCUUAAUCCCAAGUUCUUUUAUAGUAUUGAAGGAGAUGUCCACAAUGAGAUUCUGUCUCAGAUGUUUGAUUGCAUAGAAAAACUGGUUCCUGAUGUUAGUGUUCAAGAUAAAAUCACCAAAGAGAUAAACUCUUACAAGAAUGCUGCUGGAGAUUUUGGAAGGAAGAUGGCAGUUAGAGCUAGAGACACUCUGCUUCCUGGUGAGGUUCUUUCUUUCGAUUGAAUUUCUAUUCAGCUUCUGAGUUACAAUUUAUCUUGUUGCUUGUAAGAUAAUAUACUUGCAUUUUCAGGACUACAAAUGUCCAAGUGGGAGUUUGAGUGUAAAUAAAAUUUUGCUUUGCCCAUGCAUAUAGCUAAGACACUUAGUUGGAACAGAAACCUUGCUUUAUUUCUAUUUACUUACUCUUACCUGGUGAAGAUGAUUAAUAAUGCUAUGUUAGGUAUGACAAAAACCCUUUCCGGAGCUUUUCCCUUAUGCAUGCCACUAGGCAGGAUCAUUACUAUGCAAAGCCCUAAAGAAAUUCCAAAUCUUGAAUAUAUUGGGGGAGACUUUGUGAUCUAUUAGGCCAAUCUGGUGUCCAUCAUGCACUUGAUCAAAUAGCUUUUUUGUAUGUCUUGAAAUUAUAUCGGAUGCUGAAAUUGUAUUUUCAUGACUAUACGGCGUCAAAAGCAAUAGUUUGGCCAUUGUUAUCUUUUUGCUGUAGUUGAAUGGUGGUCAACAUAUGGAGGAAGUUGCCCAAAUUUGGUGCGGUUGGCUAUCCGAAUCCUCAGCCAAACCUCUAGUUUAAUUGGGUAUAAGCAAAAUCAUAUUCUUGUUGAGCAAAUAUAUGACACAAAAAAUUGUUUGGAGCGCCAACGACUGAGUGACCUUAUCUUUGCUCAGUAUAAUUUGCGACUGAAACAAAUGUAAGUUUUCUGAUGGGAUUGAAUAUGCUUAUAGAUAGUAUUUGAGAAUUAGAUAAAACAACAUAUCAUAUUUUUGCAGGGUUGGUAAGAAUGAAGAACAGGACACCAUUGAUCCCAUAUCAUUUGAUAGCGUUAGUGCUUUGGAGGACUGGGUCAGGGAAAAAGACAUGAGCUCAGAAGACUAUGAAAACACAGAUUGGAUGGCACUUGAUCCACCUGCUGCUAACACAAGGUUCCUAGGACAUUCAUAUGAUGAAGUUGAAGAGUUGAGUGUAGGGUUUGAAGAUCAUGAUAUUUUCAAUAGAAUGAAAGACUCUGAGGAAAACAACGUGGAAGACAAUCAGUAGAACAGCUUAGAAGUACACAUUUUGUUUGGAGUAUUUACAUGGAUGACUGGUUGCUUUUGCACUAUAAUCCAUUGUAGUAGUGAUUUAUGAUUAACAUUAGAGACAAUUAUCAGAUGUAAAUGGAUUAGGAUUCCUGUAACUGUAGACAGCAUCACUAGGAAGACUAAACUAGAUUAUGGUGAACAAGAUUUGAUAAUAACAACUGUUGUUCAGCGUCCAUUGGCUGCGGUUCUUUCAAUACCUUUUUGAAGUAUUUAAGUACUAGUUAGAUAGGCCUGAUGUUUGAAAAAAUUGCACUUAGUUUAUAAAUAGAGAAAUAAGGCUGUAUAUUAUGCAUACUCCUGUACAUUUCAUCUCACAUGUAUUCAAAUAGAUUUUUGAAGUUUUUUAAGCAA
rnacentral:misc_RNA from 1 species